rnacentral:rRNA from 1 species
UGGGGAAUAUUGGACAAUGGGCGAAAGCCUGAUCCAGCCAUGCCGCGUGUGUGAAGAAGGUCUUCGGAUUGUAAAGCACUUUAAGUUGGGAGGAAGGGCAGUAAGCGAAUACCUUGCUGUUUUGACGUUACCGACAGAAUAAGCACCGGCUAACUCUGUGCCAGCAGCCGCGGUAAUACAGAGGGUGCAAGCGUUAAUCGGAAUUACUGGGCGUAAAGCGCGCGUAGGUGGUUCGUUAAGUUGAAUGUGAAAGCCCCGGGCUCAACCUGGGAACUGCAUCCAAAACUGGCGAGCUAGAGUAGGGCAGAGGGUGGUGGAAUUUCCUGUGUAGCGGUGAAAUGCGUAGAGAUCUGGAGGAAUACCGAUGGCGAAGGCAGCCAUCUGGCCUAAUACUGGCGCUGAGGUACGAAAGCAUGGGGAGCAAACAGG